UGUUACUUAUAAGUAAAUAUUUUUGGAAUAGUAAAAGUAAUGAAAUUUAACGGAUUUGGCGGCAAGAUAGCCAUUUAGAGGAACCUGCCCUAUAAACGAUGAGCCACGAAUAACCUUACUCUUUUUAGUUACUCAGUUUGUAUACCGCUGUUGUCAGUUAGUUUCUUUAGAAAACUUUCGUUUAUGAUAUAUUCAAUGACUUCAAGUAAAGGUGCAGCUUAUAGAAGAGACAGAGGUGGGUUACAAUUAACAGAAUAAAACGGAUAAAGUUUUUGAAACAACUUUUGAAGGUGGAUUUAAAAGUAAGAUUUUAUGAAGUCUGAUGAGAGCUCUAUCUUGUG
rnacentral:rRNA from 1 species